GCUGGGCGUGGUGGCGCAUGCCUAUAGUCCCAGCUACUCAGGAGGCUGAGGUAGGAGAAUCGCUUGAACUCGGGAGGUGGAGGUGGAGGUUGCAGUGAGCCGAGAUCGCGCCACUGCACUGCAGCUGGGAGACAGAACGAGACUCCAUCUCUUUUUUGUGUUUUUUUUUUGAGACGGAGUCUCACUCUGUCCCCCAGGCUGGAGUGCAGUGGCGUGAUCUCGGCUCACUGCAAGCUCCGCCUCCCGGGUUCACGCCAUUCUCCUGCCUCAG
rnacentral:SRP_RNA from 1 species